rnacentral:lncRNA from 1 species
AUUUUUUAUAUAAAAUAAUGUUGGUUCUGAACACACAAAAAAAAUCACCUGCAAAAAUGAAGGGAGAUAACUUAAGUUUCAUAACGAAAUUACUUCCCUUUACCAAAAAUCAACAAUAUACAAAAUAAUCUGAAACAAAUCUCUAAUACUAUCUUGUUUGAUACAAUUAUCUAAUAUCUAUUGAACAUCAGCUUAAUAAAACGUAAGCUUUCUGACUACACUGUCAAU